CAGACAUCUAUUGGCAUCUGAGGACCUCUCCCAUUUCUGGAGCCGUGCACAAAUAUUUUUCAGGGAGAUGGCCUGCCUUGGAAAUAUGGAUGGGGAGAAGCUUUUCUCGAGGUGGGGCAGCAAACCCAAUCCUUUAAUAAAGUCAGCAGAUUUCAUGGACCACAGAGUCAGUGUCAGCUAACCAGCCCACAUAUCAUGGGACUGACAUACAAGGUCGAAGAAGUUGAAAAGCUGACUGUUUCUUCAGUGCAUGCCAAGAACAGAGCUUUAUUCCAUGAGGAUUACUAGAGUGGUGAUGUACAUGAGAGUACUAGGACAUAAACCCCACUGCUACAAGUCAGUCCCAGUUCUUCCCACCUCUGAUGAUUGUUGUGGUAAGGCGCAGGAUCCUCCACCAGCAUCUAUGCCAGAACAGACAUCACAUCUGAUCUCCUGGCUGUAGUGAACUGAAGCAUCCCACAUUUGAUCAGAUGAAGCUUGAAGAAAGUUUAGAGUGCAAAUGAAUAAUAAAUAUUUAACUGUGAUGAUAA